UGGUCCCAUUCCGAACCCAGAAGUUAAGCCCGUAAACGCUGAAAGUACUUGGAGGGAAGCCUCCCGGGAGGAUAGGAACUUGCCAAGC
rnacentral:rRNA from 1 species